rnacentral:rRNA from 2 species
UGGUAUUGAUUGGUGCUUGCAUCAUGAUUUACAUUUGAGUGAGUGGCGAACUGGUGAGUAACACGUGGGAAACCUGCCCAGAAGCGGGGGAUAACACCUGGAAACAGAUGCUAAUACCGCAUAACAACUUGGACCGCAUGGUCCGAGUUUGAAAGAUGGCUUCGGCUAUCACUUUUGGAUGGUCCCGCGGCGUAUUAGCUAGAUGGUGGGGUAACGGCUCACCAUGGCAAUGAUACGUAGCCGACCUGAGAGGGUAAUCGGCCACAUUGGGACUGAGACACGGCCCAAACUCCUACGGGAGGCAGCAGUAGGGAAUCUUCCACAAUGGACGAAAGUCUGAUGGAGCAACGCCGCGUGAGUGAAGAAGGGUUUCGGCUCGUAAAACUCUGUUGUUAAAGAAGAACAUAUCUGAGAGUAACUGUUCAGGUAUUGACGGUAUUUAACCAGAAAGCCACGGCUAACUACGUGCCAGCAGCCGCGGUAAUACGUAGGUGGCAAGCGUUGUCCGGAUUUAUUGGGCGUAAAGCGAGCGCAGGCGGUUUUUUAAGUCUGAUGUGAAAGCCUUCGGCUCAACCGAAGAAGUGCAUCGGAAACUGGGAAACUUGAGUGCAGAAGAGGACAGUGGAACUCCAUGUGUAGCGGUGAAAUGCGUAGAUAUAUGGAAGAACACCAGUGGCGAAGGCGGCUGUCUGGUCUGUAACUGACGCUGAGGCUCGAAAGUAUGGGUAGCAAACAGGAUUAGAUACCCUGGUAGUCCAUACCGUAAACGAUGAAUGCUAAGUGUUGGAGGGUUUCCGCCCUUCAGUGCUGCAGCUAACGCAUUAAGCAUUCCGCCUGGGGAGUACGGCCGCAAGGCUGAAACUCAAAGGAAUUGACGGGGGCCCGCACAAGCGGUGGAGCAUGUGGUUUAAUUCGAAGCUACGCGAAGAACCUUACCAGGUCUUGACAUACUAUGCAAAUCUAAGAGAUUAGACGUUCCCUUCGGGGACAUGGAUACAGGUGGUGCAUGGUUGUCGUCAGCUCGUGUCGUGAGAUGUUGGGUUAAGUCCCGCAACGAGCGCAACCCUUAUUAUCAGUUGCCAGCAUUAAGUUGGGCACUCUGGUGAGACUGCCGGUGACAAACCGGAGGAAGGUGGGGAUGACGUCAAAUCAUCAUGCCCCUUAUGACCUGGGCUACACACGUGCUACAAUGGAUGGUACAACGAGUUGCGAACUCGCGAGAGUAAGCUAAUCUCUUAAAGCCAUUCUCAGUUCGGAUUGUAGGCUGCAACUCGCCUACAUGAAGUCGGAAUCGCUAGUAAUCGCGGAUCAGCAUGCCGCGGUGAA